GGGGAAACCGAGAGGAGGAUAAUACCCGUGUGCACGGCGAGGAACGUGAGAGAUACACGGGUGUAACGCGGUUGUGGGAGGAACGAUGGAAGGAAAGAAACAACGGGGCCGACGACAGCCCGCGUCGUGACGUCGAAGGUCGAAAUCGAGGAAUAAUAAUUGUCUCCUCUCUCGGAUCGGAUCAGAUAAACGAAACGCACAAAUAUAAAUCAAUCAGCGGCGGCCUCUCCUAUAGGACGUGCUACACGCCCGCGUAGGUAGGUAGGUAGAUAGGUAUGCGCGAAUAUGUACAUGUAAGUCGCACACCCUCGCUCUACCCAGAUCACAAUGCAAACCGCUCUUUCGGUUCCGCUUUUCUUUUUUUUUUUUUUUUGUCUCUCCGACGGAAUUCCGAUAACCGGAUGUCUGUCUGAUCCUGAUCCUGAUCCGACCCCCACCCCUCUGCCUACCUGCACUGGCCGAAAAUGACGUCCAAGGAAUUACUCGAUGAAUGGUGUCCGCGGACGUCGGAAUUCGCCGGGCCGUUUUCAAAUGGGAUUCGUCGGGGUGGCGCACGUUGCACCUGGUCAUUCGAAUUCAGAGGACGUUGGUAACGACUACGAGAGGCUCUCUGAAACGAAAAUCGAGAGUCAAUAAUUAUCGACACCUGGAGACGAGGCUGUGGAUCCACCGGAAGAAGAGCAACGGAAAACGAAAAACGUAAAACGAAACGGAACGCAAGGAAAGAAGAGGAGUACAAAAAUGAGGAUAACGCGAGUCGAACCAGGGGUAUCCCGAUCGCGCAACAAGUCCGGCGAAAGUAGAUCUAACAGAGGCGGGUGUACGGCGUAGCUGAUAAGCCGAGGAAAUAGGAGAUGGAUAAUUCUCGCCUGUUUGGUCGACGUUUGAUUCCGUUAUAAGAGGAGGCCGAGCACCGCGUCCGAGUUACAUUCGAUUCGCCGUGCGUGACAUACGCGUCGUCGAUAACCGGCGAACGUUUGCCGCUAACCGAACGAUUCAUAUGCGCGAGAUCUCGUUGUUAAUCUCAGUUACAAGAUACGCUCGAAUAAAUUAAUCGAAUACAUACUCCGACGCUCCGCGGCUGUGGCUACCUUGAAAAUGGAAUGAUAAUGUCGUCUCACAAUGGCCGUUAUGUAAUAUUAGCGUCGAGAAAUAGGUAAUUCUAAAUAAUUUCUCAUCGAAUUACGUUCGCGCGCGCCAUACAUGUGUAUCCAUGUAACGUCUUAUUAUUAACGGGAAAUUUACGACACGUGGGUAAUCGACCGUAUUAAUUUCAAUAUUAAAUAUACGUACACGAAGAAAAAUUAAAUGGCAAACGGAUGAAUGGAAAAAAAAAAAAACCGGUUAUCCAUAAAAUAGAAAAUAAUCCUAUCAAACGGUACACAAUAAAACCCUACGACCGCACUCAUUUAUUUAUUCAUUAUUCAUUGCAGUUCUUUUUUUUAUUUAUUUAUUUUUUAUUUUUUACUUUUUAUCUCUUUUUUUUUUUUUUUUUUUUCCACCGGUAAACGGUUUUCCCAUUUUAUCUGCAAUAUAUAUAUAUAUAUGUAUAUUCAGAGGUGACGAAUCGCACGAAGUUGACGUAAUAUUUCCGACCGUACGUAUCUAUCUAUCGUGUACAUAAUCGCUCGGGAUAUUUACGGACAAAAGAUCGGCUCGUGAUACGAUUUUUAUACGCUUUAUACCGUACAUCGAGUCUUUGCCGCGACACCGACGGCCGUAAGAUCUGACUUUCGACCCUUCGACCUUGCAAAGGGCGGGUCGUCGCUAUCUCCCUCGAAAUGUCAGGAUUCAACCUUCGCCUAUUGUAUUGUAUUGUAUACCGUACAAUAGAGUCCGCGGUAUAUGAUGACGAUGAUGAUAACGGGUGAAAAGAUUUUUUGAUAUCUUUCGAUGAAAAACGCACUCGUCGCACUUCCGAUAUCGCGAACGUGAAACGGUUCAUUUUUACCCGCCGCGUGUUGUAUUCUUUUUUUUUUUUUUUUUUUUUUUCCAAAUUUUCAAGGCGCACCUCUGUGCAACUCCGACGGAUUUUUGCCGCCUUUUCGCAUCGUCUGAUAAAAAUGACGUGACGCACGUUUCAAUGCACGUAAUUUUUUUUUUUUCUUUUAUAUAUCUUCUCUCUCUCUCCAUUCAAUUUUUCAUUUACAUAAUAUAUGUAAUUUAAUGUCAGUCACAUUUACGUAUACCUGUGUAUACAUAUAUGAUGUAUAUUUUUAAUACUCGAUAAUCUGCACCUAUGCAGCGCCCUGUGUAUAUAAAAUAUUAUCGCGUUUACGAACCGUAUAAAUUUAUACCUGCAACUGUGCAAUUAUUAAUUAUCCGUAGUAUACAGUUCGUGGGUUUUCUUAACGUAUGUGAAUGUAAUUUAAUUACACACGUCAGAUAUAACUGUGAUUUAUAUGUAUGCAGACCCAUUAAUAUGCCCACGCGCAUUCUGCAUAUAGAGAAUAAUGUAACGCGUCCUUCUCGCCACUUAUUUUUUUACCCUUUUUCUUACUUUUUUUUUUUUGUUUUUUUUUUGGUUUUUUUGCUAAAGCACGUUUUUUAGGUUUCCCAUUAUCUCACCCGUUUAUUUAUUUAUCACCCUACCUUGGUUCUAUCCGCCCUUUUUUUUCUAUUUUAUUGUUACCGCAAAUCGGAUAGUUACCUACCUAAUUAUUCUGUUCGAAUUUUAAUCGCUAAACACUUAAUGGACUUAUAUUGUAUAUUAUAUUAUCUUGAGAGUAGGUAAUUGUUAUAUACGUAUAUUAUAUUGAGUUACAGUUACAAGUAAACGUAUAAGUGUAUAUUUAUUUAUAUUUAUGUAAUAAGCACGUGAAAUGUACGUACUGUAGAAAGACCUUAAUUUAUAUAGCUGAAUAUUUUCACGUACACGGAUAGCUUGAGAAGUGGAGAGACGUGAUAAUAACCUAAUCACUCCAAUGAGUGUGAAAAUGAGCGAAAAAUGAAAAUGAAACUUCGAUUCAAUUUGGAAAAAUGAUCCUUGUUGCUGAUAUCAAAUUAUAAACUAUAACUAGC